CUGUGGAACAGCAUGAUAGGAACACUUAUUCCCGAAGUCGCAAGUCCCCUUCGCCAUCAUUUCCAGGACGAGUCUGAAUAGUCCUCAGUUCUUGAAUGACCUCAGACCAGAUUGAAUGACCUCAGACCAGAAGGAAUAGGCCAGCAGCGAGAACACAGCCUAGAGCAGGCUAAGGAAGAAGAUGGUAAAUAGGGCAUUCUCCCUCAGAGUUUACUUGAAGACAAGGUUUGAGUUAUUCCACAUACUCCGCAGACUGAUUCAGACUAGAUCAGCCUUUCUGCCUUUAAACUGGAUACACUGGGGAUACAGUUGAGUGAAUUGGAACAGUCUAAAUUUGAUUGUUACCAGGAGCUGAGACAUCUGUUGUUCAGAGAGGGAGGUGUACCGGUGGAGCUCUGAGGGUGCUCUGCAGUUGCUAAGUGCAUUGUUUGGAGAGGGCUACACAUGUCCAGUACAUACAGGUAAAGCAGUUAAACUGCCAAGUGCAUUAUUACAAGGGGAGGGCUAUGAAUAACCCAAAUCGAGUCCCAGCUUACUAAAUUAUUUCCUAUGUUUGCCUGGCUCACCUGGAUUUAAUCAGGGUUGAAGGCCAUCUUCUUCCUUUCUAAGAUUUAUUUUUAAAA